rnacentral:rRNA from 1 species
AGCAGCCGCGGUAAUUCCAGCUCCAAUAGCGUAUAUUAAAGUUGUUGCAGUUAAAAAGCUCGUAGUUGAACUUCGGGGUUCACCCAUUGGUCAGGCUUAAUUGUCUGCACUGGUGAGAUGAGUCUCUAUCUUCUGAGGAACUUUCAUGCCAUUUAUUUGGUGUGGUUGGAAAUCAGGACUGUUACUUUGAAAAAAUUAGAGUGUUUAAAGCAGGCUAACGUCUGAAUACAUUAGCAUGGAAUAAUGAAAUAGGACGGACUGAUUCUAUUUCGUUGGUUUCUAGGGUCACCGUAAUGAUUAAUAGGGAUAGUUGGGGGCAUUAGUAUUCAAUUGUCAGAGGUGAAAUUCUUGGAUUUAUUGAAGACUAACUACUGCGAAAGCAUUUGCCAAGGAUGUUUUCAUUAAUCAAGAACGAAAGUUAGGGGAUCGAAGACGAUCAGAUACCGUCGUAGUCUUAACCAUAAACUAUGCCGACUAGGGAUCGGACGAAGUUAAUUUUAUAAUGACGCGUUCGC